rnacentral:lncRNA from 1 species
GAAAAAGUAAUGUAUGUCCUAAAUUUUUUAAAUUUGCUGGAGGAAUCUGAAACUCACACAAACAGAAGUCCUGUUGACAGACAUUUUAAACUGGAUUUUCCUCCGUGUGAACAAAAGGCCAAAAUUAUGUAUAAAGAUCCCAUAACAGAAAUAUGGAUGGGCCCUUUCCCCCUGAUCACCUGGGGGAAAGGGUACGCCUGCAUUGCAGGUGACACCAGACCUAAGUGGGUCCCAGCGAGACGGAUCAGAAUACACCAAGACUGCGACGCAAAAUGUGGACCCUCCGUGCCUACAUCAUCCUGAUCAGCACCUUAGGAUUAAUCAACAACUCUACUUUGUUGCCCCUGACGGAGUGGAUGAACCAACCAACGGAAAACUUAUGGGUAACACUGGCCAAGGCCACUGGAACAGACACCUUGUGCCUGGCCUUGUCCAGCGCCAGCAACCCCUUUCAGACCUGUCUAGUAGGUGUUCCUGUGACUCCGGGCGAGGACUGGGAUGCGUUUGUUGCACAAACCCGGAGUCAAGGAUCCCUGCAGCAAGACUCCGUUACUCUAGCACAGGUUGUUUCCUGCCAGGCCUUUACUUCAGGCCGCCAGGCCUCGGUUCUCUCCCCACCAGCAACUGUAUUUUGUUUCAUCGCUACACGGAGCCCAAUCUAUUUACCCCUCAUAAUGUAUCCGCUAGCAGACCAAUUUACAAAGGGACCUCUUCGCCCGUGGUGCAACAAUUCUAUUGCUACUACAGUAGCAACUGAACAUGUGCCAAGGAACAUGAGACUCCCAAAGGGAUUUUUCCUUCUGUGCGGGGAUUGGGCAUGGCAGGGUAUUCCUGCCUACCCCGAGGGGGGUCCCUGCACAGUGGGAAAACUGGCACUGUUCAACCCGGCGAAGUUCAAACUGUUAGAUCAACCCCCUAUCCCCAAGAAUCAUGUUAAACGGUCCCUAUCAUUCGCAAUGGGCGCACCGCUUAGGUUCCCUCAGCCAAAGCCAAAAACAACAACCCCGCGCGCCACUAGCCCAAAACCUCAAGUCACUACCCCCCGUACCGUUGCGGCACCACGUGUGGAUGAUGGAAUCGUUACUCCGCCACCUCCUUUACCCUUCCCGGCGGACUGCGAUUCCAACAUUCACAUCUGGUCCCGCAUGAAAAAUUUCUGGGCUUCCUUCCCGAUCCCAGGGAUAGGAACAGCCCAUGCCCUAUCCCUUUUAACCCACCUUGGUUGCUGGCUAACCAAGGAAGCCAACGCCACCACCAUCGCAACUGAAGGUUUGCUAGCGGACACCCAAAAAUUGAAAGAAAUCAGUUUACAGAAUCGUGCCCCCAUCGACUUCCUACUCCUG